rnacentral:rRNA from 1 species
GAUGAACGCUGGCGGCGUGCCUAAUACAUGCAAGUCGAGCGAACAGACGAGGAGCUUGCUCCUUUGACGUUAGCGGCGGACGGGUGAGUAACACGUAGGUAACCUACCUAUAAGACUGGGAUAACUUCGGGAAACCGGAGCUAAUACCGGAUAAUAUUUCGAACCGCAUGGUUCGAUAGUGAAAGAUGGCUUUGCUAUCACUUAUAGAUGGACCUGCGCCGUAUUAGCUAGUUGGUAAGGUAACGGCUUACCAAGGCAACGAUACGUAGCCGACCUGGGAGGGUGAUCGGCCACACUGGAACUGAGACACGGUCCAGACUCCUACGGGAGGCAGCAGUAGGGAAGCUUCCGCAAUGGGCGAAAGCCUGACGGAGCAACGCCGCGUGAGUGAUGAAGGUCUUCGGAUCGUAAAACUCUGUUAUUAGGGAAGAACAAACGUGUAAGUAACUGUGCACGUCUUGACGGUACCGAAUCAGAAAGCCACGGCUAACUACGUG